ACCAGUUGCAGUAUUUGUGCUUAUGUGAGUAGAUAAGUAACAAUGUGCAGUAUAUGUUUGAAAAAAAGUGAUGGUUUACUGGAUUUCAGAGAAAUGUCCUUAAGAUGUAACAACUCGCAUCAUUUCCAGCAUAUCAGAUCUUUUUUCAGUCAUAUUUAAUGCAAUAUCAAAAACUGGACAUUCGAAUAUCAGUAAUAAAUAUAGUUGAGUGUGACUGCUGCAUUUCCACCCACGUGACCUAAAAAUGUAGCCCUUAAAUUGCACAAGGAUACUGAUUAAUAAUGUCAAAUCUAUGAAUCACUGUAGAAUUUUCAUGCUAUUAAACGAAAAUUUUGAAAAACUGUUUUGUUGUGCUCAGAGGAGUGUGAAUGAUGCUUUUUUAGAUCUAUAUGAUGGUAUAAGUUACACAUCUUUAGUCCUCUGUUUCUGAAUUAGCAUUCUAUUGCAGAAUUUUGAGAAAAUGAAUAAAUACAUUAAAUUGGGAUUUUUAAGAAAUGUUUUUAGAAACUACACAGCUCUUAAAGAAACAGUAGAUGACGGUUAACUGAAGCGUUAUUACCACUUUUGGAUAACCCAAAGUCAUUGGCAGAAGCACAGAGGUCAUGUUAGUUUUGCUGAUUGAACUAUUUUCUUACGUAUGUAUAGCAUGUACAUUGUAACAUUUAGUGUCUUUUUAGUUGAGGGUGGGAAAGAUGUUGGUGUUUAUGUUGAGCUCUUUACAUCUCUUGUUGUACUACCAAACACGUUUCGACUAACUGUUGAAAAAGUUCUGUAAAUAUGUGAAUUCAGUGCCUGUGCAAUUAGAAAUAUACUUGAAUACUCGGUUGUGGAGAUGACAGUAAUCAGCAGAAUAAAUGUGGUUCAGCAUACCAAGGCUACACCACAGUUCCAUACAUUUUGUUGUUUUAUUUAUAUGUACAGUUAGUAUUUUCACAUUUUCAAAGAAAUACAGUAUCUUUUGCUGUUGCUGUCAUAUUUUGUCUCUUAUUUGGGACUUUUUGUUUCAGUUUUCCCCUUGGUUAUGGUGCAAUAAACAAAGAUUAAGCAAA